rnacentral:rRNA from 1 species
GUCUAUGUCAAUGAUACCCUGAACAAGCCUGAUCUUGUCUGAUCUUGAAAGCUAAGCAGGAUCAGGCCUGAUUAGUACUUGGAUGGGAGAUCACCUAGAAAGCCCAGGUGCUGUAGGUG